GACGUAGGGCGCGAGCGUUGUCCGGAUUUAUUGGGCGUAAAGAGCUCGUAGGCGGCUUGUCGCGUCGACUGUGAAAACCCGCGGCUCAACCGUGUGGCUUGCAGUUGAUACGGGCAGGCUAGAGUUCGGUAGGGGAGACUGGAAUUCCUGGUGUAGCGGUGAAAUGCGCAGAUAUCAGGAGGAACACCGGUGGCGAGGGCGGGUCUCUGGGCCGUAACUGACGCUGAGGAGCGAAAGCGUGGGGAGCGAACAGG
rnacentral:rRNA from 1 species